AUGGGCGACAACGAUUGCAUCAAAUCCAGAUGGAAUUUCGAUGGGUACGAAUGGGAAUUCCGUGUCUAUCCUAAUUGCUGGGGCUACUCUGUAGCAGUGGAACUUGCCUUUCUCAGCAAACCCCGCAGGGCCAGUGUGAAGCGUGCCUUUCUCAGAAAAGCCCGCAGGGGCAGUGUGAGGGUCGCUGUAUGCUGCCGGUUGGUCGAUCCGGCAGGGACGCUUGAGCCAUCCAACGAAGUUUGUGAGCAGCGGGUGUUCAGCCGUCCCAAUGAUUAUAUCUUUAAAUUUUUUAUCUUGAGAAGUAAGCUAGCAGCAUCAGGUUAUCUUAGGGGUGAUUCUUUUACUGUGCAAUGCACCAUUGACGUUCUCAAGGAACUACCGGCUACGGACCCGGUCAAAGAAGUGCCAGUGCCAUCCUCAAACUUGCACAGACACCUUGCUGAACUCCUGCGGAGCAAGACGGGAGCAGAUGUCACGUUUCUUGUGUGUGGCAAGUCUUUUGCUGCGCACAAGCUCAUCCUCGCUGCAAGAUCCCCUGUCUUCAUGGCCGAGUUCUUUGGAGAUAUGAAGGAGAAUUGCGCACGGCGCGUGGAGAUUAAGGACAUGCAGGCUGCGGUAUUCAAGUCGCUGCUUCACUUCAUCUACACUGAUACUGUGCCUGAAUUCGACGAGAAGGGCAAGGAGGUGAUGGUGUUAGCUCAGCACUUGCUUGCAGCUGCUGACAGAUAUGACCUAGACAGGCUCAAGCUGGUCUGUGAAAGCAAGCUCUCUGGUGGCAUCAGUGUUGACACGGCAGCGACAUCUCUGGCUCUAGCCGAGCAGCACAAUUGUCCACAGCUCAAGGCGAAGUGCGUCCAGUUCAUCGUUAGGAAUCGUGAGGUUCUUGAUGCUGUGUUGGCGACGGAGGGGUACAAGUAUCUAGCGGCAAGCUGCCCUUCGGUGUUGUCUGACCUUCUCGAGUCAAGUCUGCGUGUGGGAGAAAGCACAAGCACUGAUGCAUAUAGUUAG
rnacentral:rRNA from 1 species